rnacentral:SRP_RNA from 1 species
GCUGGGCACAGCGGCGCAUGCCUAUAGUCCCAGCUACUCGGGAGGCUGAGGUGGGAGGAUCACUUGAGCCCAGGAGUUCUGGGCUGUAGUGUGCUAUGCCAAUCGGGUGUCCGCACUAAGUUCAGCAUCAAUAUGGUGACUUCCCGGGAGUGGGGGACCACCAGGUUGCCUAAGGAGGGGUGAACCGGCCCAGGUUGAAAAUGGAGCAAGUCAAAACUCCCAUGCUGAUCAGUAGUGGGAUUGUGCCUGUGAAUAGCCACUGCACUCCAGCCUGGGCAACAUAGUGAGACCUCGUCUAA